rfam:Stegodyphus mimosarum contig113060, whole genome shotgun sequence.
AGCUUUGCGCAGAGGCAGUGUCAUAGCCAAUGAGGUACUACCGAGGCGUGACUAUUGCUAGUUGAAAACGUGA